GGCGGCAGGCUUAACACAUGCAAGUCGAACGGGCAUAGCAAUAUGUCAGUGGCAGACGGGUGAGUAACGCGUGGGAACAUACCUCUUGGUUCGGAACAACACAGGGAAACUUGUGCUAAUACCGGAUAAGCCCUUACGGGGAAAGAUUUAUCGCCGAGAGAUUGGCCCGCGUCUGAUUAGCUAGUUGGUGUGGUAAAAGCGCACCAAGGCGACGAUCAGUAGCUGGUCUGAGAGGAUGAUCAGCCACAUUGGGACUGAGACACGGCCCAAACUCCUACGGGAGGCAGCAGUGGGGAAUAUUGGACAACGGGCGCAAGCCUGAUCCAGCCAUGCCGCGUGAGUGAUGAAGGCCCUAGGGUUGUAAAGCUCUUUUGUGCGGGAAGAUAAUGACGGUACCGCAAGAAUAAGCCCCGGCUAACUUCGUGCCAGCAGCCGCGGUAAUACGAAGGGGGCUAGCGUUGCUCGGAAUCACUGGGCGUAAAGGGUGCGUAGGCGGGUUUUUAAGUCAGAGGUGAAAUCCUGGAGCUCAACUCCAGAACUGCCCUUGAUACUGAAAGUCUUGAGUAUGGGAGAGGUGAGUGGAACUGCGAGUGUAGAGGUGAAAUUCGUAGAUAUUCGCAAGAACACCAGUGGCGAAGGCGGCUCACUGGCCCAUUACUGACGCUGAGGCACGAAAGCGUGGGGAGCAAACAGGAUUAGAUACCCUGGUAGUCCACGCCGUAAACGAAUGAA
rnacentral:rRNA from 1 species